rnacentral:lncRNA from 1 species
AAGUGAAUUCAAGCGUCAAUGCCUAGCAUAACAGACUGUGUGUGUGAUAGCUGUGAUUCUAAUUGUAGGAAUUGCAUCCAAAUGGAGAGGUUUCUUCUCACUGAGCAACCUAGGAGGGCUUCCUGCAGAAGGCAGCAGCCUGGUGCAAUGAGAAGUCUGGCUUGGGCUGAGAGCAGGAUCGGGCCGGCAGCUUGGUUCCUUGGCCUGUGUGCCCUGGAUGAGGAAACUGUAGCUCCGAGUGGACAACUGAUCCAUCCCGGGUCACACAGACAGAAUUCAGCCCCACACAGCCUGGCUCACGUGUCCAGGCGACGCCGCCUCUGUUGCCCACAGCUCCUGGACGCUUCCCUGCCCCUGCAGCCACCGCGCGGUGAGCCGUGAUGGGCAGGCAGCUGGCGAGCUUGGAGACGCCCCGCCCCCUCCCUUGGCAUCUCCAGCCUACGGGGCACUGACGGCCCCCUGGGCACGGACCCCCUCCUGCCAUCCCCA